GCCCUUCGGGGUACUCGAGUGGCGAACGGGUGAGUAACACGUGGGUGAUCUGCCCUGCACUUCGGGAUAAGCCUGGGAAACUGGGUCUAAUACCGANUNNNACCACGCGCUUCAUGGUGUGUGGUGGAAAGCUUUUGCGGUGUGGGAUGGGCCCGCGGCCUAUCAGCUUGUUGGUGGGGUAAUGGCCUACCAAGGCGACGACGGGUAGCCGGCCUGAGAGGGUGACCGGCCACACUGGGACUGAGAUACGGCCCAGACUCCUACGGGAGGCAGCAGUGGGGAAUAUUGCACAAUGGGCGCAAGCCUGAUGCAGCGACGCCGCGUGAGGGAUGACGGCCUUCGGGUUGUAAACCUCUUUCAAUAGGGACGAAGCGCAAGUGACGGUACCUAUAGAAGAAGCACCGGCCAACUACGUGCCAGCAGCCGCGGUAAUACGUAGGGUGCGAGCGUUGUCCGGAAUUACUGGGCGUAAAGAGCUCGUAGGUGGUUUGUCGCGUUGUUCGUGAAAACUCACAGCUUAACUGUGGGCGUGCGGGCGAUACGGGCAGACUAGAGUACUGCAGGGGAGACUGGAAUUCCUGGUGUAGCGGUGGAAUGCGCAAAUAUCAGGAGGAACACCGGUGGCGAAGGCGGGUCUCUGGGCAGUAACUGACGCUGAGGAGCGAAAGCGUGGGGAGCGNNNNNNAUUAGAUACCCUGGUAGUCCACGCCGUANACGGUGGGUACUAGGUGUGGGUUCCUUCCUUGGGAUCCGUGCCGUAGCUAACGCAUUAAGUACCCCGCCUGGGGAGUANNNCNGCAAGGC
rnacentral:rRNA from 1 species